AAGUCCCGUAACGAGCGCAACCCCUGUGAACUGUUGCCACCGAGCCGUGAGGCUCGAGCACUCUGUUCAGACUGCCCCGCUCUAACGGGGAGGAAGGUGGGGACGACGUCAAGUCAGUAUGGCCCUUACGGCCUGGGCUGCACACGUACUACAAUGCCCAGUACAAAACGAUCCAAAACCGCGAGGUGGAGGAAAUCAUUAAAACUGGGCCCAGUUCAGAUUGAAGUCUGCAACUCGACUUCAUGAAGCCGGAAUCGCUAGUAAUGGCGUAUCAGCUACGACGCCGUGAAUACGUUCCCGGGCCUUGUACACACCGCCCG
rnacentral:rRNA from 1 species